AGCAAGAGACUAUGCUGCACUUUAAAGUGCUGCAUGGCCCUGACUUUUGUUUCAGCAAGACCAGACUAACAGGGCUGCAUGUGUCUUACUAGUCUCCUGCUCCAGGGCUGCAAGGCAGGCGGACUGAAGGUUACGGGUGAAAUGGAGGCGCAGGCCAGCAGGCAGAAACUUUUUUUAAUUGUAUCCUUUGGUCCCACCGCCCAGGAAUGUAAAUGUGAUAGCUAUGACCAUGAACCACGUUUCCAAAGCAUCUGGAGAUAAGGCAGAAGAACUGCUGGACCAGCUGCAAGCAUGGUGCAUCCACCACCUCCCACGCCAUCAGCAAGAGCCACAGGCGAAGGCGAACAUGCAAGGACCUAGUGUGAGAACAUCUAGACUGCCUCCAUUCCCUCAGCCAGAGCUUCGAGGAGGAGCACAAGGAGCACCUGGCUGAUUGGGGUCUGAGGAGGAGGAUGCAAGAGCAGCUGUCAUGCCAGUGCGAGGCCAUGUACUCCUCAAUAACAUCAGUUAUGGAGCACAUAGUUGCGUGUAUGGAGUGAUCCAUCAACCAGCUCCCCGCACACAUCCCAUACCCAACUCCCUUCCCAACUUCCUGUCC